GAUGAACGCUGGCGGCGUGCCUAAUACAUGCAAGUCGAGCGAACGGACGAGAAGCUUGCUUCUCUGAUGUUAGCGGCGGACGGGUGAGUAACACGUGGAUAACCUACCUAUAAGACUGGGAUAACUUCGGGAAACCGGAGCUAAUACCGGAUAAUAUUUUGAACCGCAUGGUUCAAAAGUGAAAGACGGUCUUGCUGUCACUUAUAGAUGGAUCCGCGCUGCAUUAGCUAGUUGGUAAGGUAACGGCUUACCAAGGCAACGAUGCAUAGCCGACCUGAGAGGGUGAUCGGCCACACUGGAACUGAGACACGGUCCAGACUCCUACGGGAGGCAGCAGUAGGGAACCUUCCGCAAUGGGCGAAAGCCUGACGGAGCAACGCCGCGUGAGUGAUGAAGGUCUUCGGAUCGUAAAACUCUGUUAUUAGGGAAGAACAUAUGUGUAAGUAACUGUGCACAUCUUGACGGUACCUAAUCAAAAAGCCACGGCUAACUACGUG
rnacentral:rRNA from 1 species